GAGGGUAUAGCUCAAGUGGUAGAGUGCAUACUUAGCAUGCACAAGGUCCUGGGUUCAAUUCCCAGUACCUCCU
rfam:Camelus ferus unplaced genomic scaffold scaffold1683, whole genome shotgun sequence.